CUGAUAGUCCUCAGAGGUGCAGAUGGUGAGCAGAGUGCUCUGUUAUUGUCCUCAGGGUUUUAGAUGGCGACUAAGUGCUCUGUGAUAGUCCUCAGGGGUGUAGAAGGUGACUAAGUGCUCUGUGAUAGUCCUCAGGUGUGCAGAUGGUGAGCAGAGUGCUCUUUGAUAGUCCUCAGGCGUGUAGAAGGGGACUAGAGUGCUCUUUGAUAGUCCUCAGGCGUGUAGAAGGGGACUAGAGUGCUCUGUGAUAGUCCUCAGGGGUGCAGAUGGUGAGCAGAAUGCUCUCUGAUAGUCCUCAGGGGUGCAGAGGGUGAGCAGAGUGCUCUGUUAUUGUCCUCAGUCGUGUAGAAGGAGACUAGAGUGCUCUUUGAUAGUCCUCAGGCGUGUAGAAGGUGAGCAGAGUGCUCUCUGAUAGUCCUCAGGUGUGCAGAAGGUGAGCAGAAUGCUCUUUGAUAGUCCUCAGGUGUGCAGAGGGUGAGCAGAGUGCUCUCUGAUGGUCAUCAGGGUUGCAGAGGGUGAGCAGAGUGCUCUCUGAUGGUCAUCAGGGUUGCAGAGGGUGAGCAGAGUGCUCUCUGAUGGUCAUCAGGGGUGCAGAGGGUGAGCAGAGUGCUCUCUGAUAGUCCUCAGGUGUGCAGAUGGUGAGCAGAAUGCUCUUUGAUAGUCCUCAGGGGUGCAGAGGGUGAGCAGAGUGCUCUGUGAUAGUCCUUAGGGGUGCAGAGGGUGAGCAGAGUGCCUUUGAUAGUCCUCAGGGGUGCAGAGGGUGAGCAGAGUGCCUUUGAUAGUCCUCAGGGGUGCAGAGGGUGAGCAGAGUGCCUUUGAUAGUCUUCAGGAGUGCAGAGGGUGAGCAGAUUGCCUUUGAUAGUCCUCAGGGGUGCAGAGGGUGAGCAGAUUGCCUUUGAUAGUCCUCAGGGGUGCAGAGGGUGAGCAGAGUGCUCUGUGAUAGUCCUCAGGGUUGCAGAGGGUGAGCAGAGUGCCUUUGAUAGUCUUCAGGGGUGCAGAGGGUGAGCAGAGUGCCUUUGAUAGUCCUCAGGGGUGCAGAUGGUGAGCAGAGUGCUCUUUGAUAGUCUUCAGGGGUGCAGAGGGUGAGCAGAGUGCUCUUUGAUAGUCCUCAGGGGUGCAGAGGGUGAGCAGAGUGCUCUUUGAUAGUCCUCAGGGGUGCAGAGGGUGAGCAGAGUGCUCUUUGAUAGUCCUCAGGGGUGCAGAGGGUGAGCAGAGUGCCUUUGAUAGUCCUCAGGGGUGCAGAUGGUGAGCAGAGUGCUCUUUGAUAGUCCUCAGGGGUGCAGAGGGUGAGCAGAGUGCCUUUGAUAGUCCUCAGGGGUGCAGAUGGUGAGCAGAGUGCUCUUUGAUAGUCUUCAGGGGUGCAGAUGGUGAGCAGAGUGCUCUUUGAUAGUCCUCAGGGGUGCAGAGGGUGAGCAGAGUGCCUUUGAUAGUCCUCAGGGGUGCAGAUGGUGAGCAGAGUGCUCUUUGAUAGUCCUCAGGGGUGCAGAGGGUGAGCAGAGUGCUCUGUGAAGAUCAGGGUGUAAUUGUGUGCAGCUGUAGAGUAACGGAGUAUGCUAGGAGAGGUGUACCGAGAGUGAGCAGUGUGAGUGCAGAGAUCUGCUACAUCUGGGGGAGCAGUGCGCGCUGUGUGCACAGAUGCUGGAUGCGGCCCCAGUGACUCACUGCGCUCUUCCCACCCCAGGGUGAUGUCAGUGGGACUCACAUCUGCAGCCUCGCCUACAGGAGGGGCCCCUAACACA